GGGAUUUCAGUUAAUACUAUUACAUUCUGAUACGAACGCAAACUAACGGAAGAUAACUAAGCUAAGUAUAGAAAUUGAAUCUGAAUUUUUCUCCCCUUUUUAUUCAAUCAUUAUCGCUUAUAUAAUAGUUUCCAUACAAGAUAUUUUAUGGAAUUGGUUAUAACGGAAAUAUGAAAUGUGCAGAAUUCGUGGAGUAGUGGAUUCAUCACGUGGGAAUUAAGCUGAAAGGAUCUUCUAGAAUGACGCCAAGGAUUCACUCGAAAUCAUUCAAGUAAGUGGGUUUUCGGGUCACCAUUUUGGGCCUGCUAUUGUUGCCAUUGAUGCUGUUGUGGGGUUCUCUGUUCUGCAUAUUGCUAUCAACACCCGCGCCUCCGAAAACAACCUCGUCCUCGAGGUUGUAGGACUGUUGUAAAUCGUCCCAAAGUUCCCAAGAAGUAUCCUCAGGAGGAAGACCCAUCCAUUGAACGAGGACCAGGCGCCGGGGAGGGGUAACGGAAGAAUCUAAUUUCCAGUCCAAAAUGGUCAAAGGUGUGACCACGGGGUGAUGAUCCACGGCCAAAGGAGGAAGGGGAAUGAUAUCGGACGGAGGGGCUCCUUGGUGUGCCUUCAAAAGGGAAAUAUGGAAAACGUUGUGGAUACGGGAAUCAUUGGGUAAGGCGAGCUUGUAGGCCACGGGGCCUAUGCGCUCGGUCACCUGGUAAGGGCCGAAGUAGCGUUUGGCCAACUUGGAAUAUGUGGGAUUCAAGGACUUCUGGCGGUAUGGACGGAGGCGGAGAUAUACCCAGUCGCCGACAGUGUACUGGACGUCACGGCGAUGCUUAUCGGCAUUGGUCUUCAUCUGCGAGGAGAAGGUGCAAUCGUGAUUUGCAGCGGUGACCGGGGGACCAUUUGUCGUCACAAUGGUAACAGAGCCCCUGGUCACGGCGCAGUGCGAGCUCCUCUGCCGACAAACGUUUCACGGUGAGUUUCGGGGAAUGGAAGGGAAGGGGGGAAGGGGCCUUAGGGGAAGAGUGUAUAGUGGUUGAGGAAGGGGUUGGUGUCGGAAGCGGGAGGGGCGGCGGUGGUGGUGGUCGGUGGCCCCGGCGGCGGUCCAGUAGUUUAUCUUCCUGGAGGCGGGCCAGUUCAAUCGCCUGAGGAAGAGACAUUGGACGAAGCGCCUGGACUUCACGGCGGAGUUCCGGGAUUAAUCCGGAAAUGAAGCAGCUCAACAAUGAAGAGGGAGCGAUGCCAAUGGUGCGAUUGGCCAAACGUUCGAAAGCUGUGAGAUAGUCACCGACGGAUCCGGUUUGCUGGAGUUUGAAUAAAGUCCCCUGGGGGUCAUCAUAAUAGGAAGGGGCAAAUCGGGAUUCUAAGGCCUGCAGCAUCGCCGGCCAAGAAGAGAAUAACCCAUUCCAGUGCAUCCAUUGAUACCAGGAGAGGGCGGGUCCGUCCAUAUAGAACGAGGCAAUGGUGAGACGUUCGAGCUCGGGAAUCCCCUGGUAAUCAAAGAACUGGGAUAUUUUAAAUAUCCAACCAAGGGGGUCGUGGCCGUCGAAGCGAGGGACAUCGAGUUUCAGGUGGUGGUGCCGGGCAACGGGGGGCGGAGGUAUUAACGGGGAUGAAUUGGGGGUGGGAGAGUUUGUGUGUUGCAGGGAGAUGGCCGCGAGACAGUCGAAGAGGGAUUCAAUCUGAGAGGUGAGUGAAUUGUGGAUGGUAUCGAUUUUGGAAUUGAGGGAUUGGUGACCUUGUGAUAAGGAAGUUUGGCCUUCGGUCAGGGCGGCUUGGGUCUGGGAAAGACGAAGGACGGCCUCUUCGAGCUUAUCGGUGGUCGUCUGGCGGGUAUGGUGGUCGGGCAUGGCUGGGAAAAAAAAGCAGGUCGGACCAGUUUGAUACGAACGCAAACUAACGGAAGAUAACUAAGCUAAGUAUAGAAAUUGAAUCUGAAUUUUUCUCCCCUUUUUAUUCAAUCAUUAUCGCUUAUAUAAUAGUUUCCAUACAAGAUAUUUUAUGGAAUUGGUUAUAACGGAAAUAUGAAAUGUGCAGAAUUCGUGGAGUAGUGGAUUCAUCACGUGGGAAUUAAGCUGAAAGGAUCUUCUAGAAUGACGCCAAGGAUUCACUCGAAAUCAUUCAAGUAAGUGGGUUUUCGGGUCACCCUUUUGGGCCUGCUAUUGUUGCCAUUGAUGCUGUUGUGGGGUUCUCUGUUCUGCAUAUUGCUAUCACAUUCACUUGAAAGAACUUUACCAAAUUGAAAUUAACUUUCAAGUAGAAAAUUGAUCUCUCUAUCUCUCUCUCUCUCUCUCUCUCUCUCUCUCUCUCUCUCUCUCUCUCUCUCUCUCUCUCUCUCUCUCUCUCUCUCUCUCUCUCUCUCUCUCUCUCUCUCUCUCUCUCUAUAUAUAUAUAUAUAUAUAUAUAUAUAUAUAUAUAUAUAUAUAUAUAUAUGUUUUAUUUAUUUGGAAGCUAUAAUUGUCGAGGAGCUCAAAGUAGCACCCAGUUAUCAGUAUCCAACAACCGGCAAAGAAAAAAACAGUUAUCCGAAAAAUUACCAGACAUGCAUCGAGCUUUUGAGGUCGAUAAAAAACUUCACCUUAGUUGGUAUGUAAAAAAAUAUACUCCCUAUUUUUAGUUGUAUCUUUUUAUAGAAAAUGUCAAAUAAACUUAUAUAGUAUUCUCACUAUUAUUUGCAACUGAAUUUUAGAGAAAAUUAUUAUUAAAAACCUAAACUUAUUAAUGAAUAUCAUUUAAGAACCAUAACUUUAGAUUCAUUUUCCACAUAUCCAGUGACUAAGCCCUCCACACAAUUUCUACACAAAAAGCAACAACAAGAUCAAAUUGGAACUGAAAGAGACCUUGAAGCAUAAAAAAAGAUUGCUACAAAUAAUGGAGCUGAAACAAAUUCUCAAGGUAAGGACAAAAUGGUUAAUAAAAUUUGUACUAGUAUACGUUAUGAUAGAUUCUGGUAUACAUUUUCAUGUUAUGCGUGAGCCUAUCUAUGUGACGCAUCUGACUGUGUCUGCUCUCCAACAUGCAUGUACAUGUGUUUCCCACACACCAUAUUUGGGCAUUGGGCACCAAAUAAACUCUAUUUAUAAGCGAAUUGAAGAAACAUAAAUUAAGAGAACAUUGAGAAUGAGUUAGCAGAAGUCUCAUUACUCUAUCCUAUCAUUUGUUUAGGAUCUGAAACCAGCGAUUGGUAGUCCAUUAUUUCCAGUCAAUUACCAAAGCUGUGUGGAUUUCAUUAUAUGUUGCACAUCAAUUAUUCUCACCAUACCUCUGAUCUAUAGGUUUGCACUCAAUUAUUCUCACCAUACCAGUAAUAGAUUUUAUAUACACAUUGGCCUGUAAGUAGAAAUAACAAAAUGGACCGGGUUCAUCAGGCUGGUCUGUUG
rnacentral:lncRNA from 1 species